rnacentral:rRNA from 1 species
AUUGAACGCUGGCGGCAUGCCUAACACAUGCAAGUCGAACGGGGCAGCAAUGCCUAGUGGCGGACGGGUGAGGAAUACGUAGGAAUCUGCCCUUAAGUGGGGGAUAACCAGGGGAAACCCUGACUAAUACCGCAUGAUCUCUUCGGAGCAAAGAGGGGGACCGCAAGGCCUCUCGCUUCUAGAUGAGCCUACGUCUGAUUAGCUAGUUGGUAGGGUAAAGGCCUACCAAGGCGACGAUCAGUAACUGGUCUGAGAGGAUGAUCAGUCACACCGGAACUGAGACACGGUCCGGACUCCUACGGGAGGCAGCAGUGGGGAAUAUUGGACAAUGGGCGCAAGCCUGAUCCAGCAAUGCCGCGUGUGUGAAGAAGGCCUUCGGGUUGUAAAGCACUUUAGCCUGGAAAGAAAAAACUUUGGUUAACACCCAAAGUCUAGACGGUACCAGGAGAAUAAGCACCGGCUAACUCUGUGCCAGCCGCCGCAGUAACAC